rnacentral:rRNA from 1 species
CUCGAUAGUCCGGGGCUCAACUCCGGAUCUGCGGUGGGUACGGGCAGACUAGAGUGAUGUAGGGGAGACUGGAAUUCCUGGUGUAGCGGUGAAAUGCGCAGAUAUCAGGAGGAACACCGAUGGCGAAGGCAGGUCUCUGGGCAUUAACUGACGCUGAGGAGCGAAAGCAUGGGGAGCGAACAGGAUUAGAUACCCUGGUAGUCCAUGCCGUAAACGUUGGGCACUAGGUGUGGGGGACAUUCCACGUUUUCCGCGCCGUAGCUAACGCAUUAAGUGCCCCGCCUGGGGAGUACGGCCGCAAGGCUAAAACUCAAAGGAAUUGACGGGGGCCCGCACAAGCGGCGGAGCAUGCGGAUUUAUUCGAUGCCACGCGAAGAACCUUACCAAGGCUUGACAUGGGCCGGACCGGGCUGGAAACAGUCCUUCCCCUUUGGGGCGGUUCCA